UUUGCAAUAUACCUCGACUAUAAUUCAAGGGAUUCAAAAAGUGUAGUCAGGCACUAAUAGUGAUAACCAACUACAUGUGAAUCUACUUACCCUUCUUCUUCAUCAACAACAUCCAGGGGCAAUAAUGCCUCUCUUUUCUCUCUUCCCUCAAAACAAGCCCCCUCAACCCCAAACCACUAAAAAUACAAUAAUGCUAAUAAAUAGUGACGAAAGAAAAACAAAGUAGCCUAAAACCCUAAUCCAUCCAAGUUGUUAUGUUUUCAAGUUCAUGAGUCUGCACUAUGCAAGCAUACUUCUAUUUACAAUUUCAUACCCUACUUUCCCCUGAUAUUGACUAGGAAGACAGCACAAAUAAAAUUCAGAAGUAACGACCAUGAAUUUCAAACAGGGCACUAAUACAUGUUCUAUUUUAUGACAUCACCAUUCCUUGACAUUCACUUAGCACAUCAGUAAAAGACUGAGCUGUAAAUUGGAUGUUUUACAUACCAUUGGAGUCUGAACUUGAGAAGGUUCACUUGUAUCAAAUGGGUUCACUGAUUUUGAUUGCUGUGGCAAAGGUUGCAUUGUUUGGUGUGGCAAAGGUUGCAUUGUUUGCUGUGGCAAAGGUUGCAUUGUCUGCAACAGUAAAGUAUAUAUUUUGAAAUAUGUUAAUAAGAAAAAACGGAAAUGGCAUUAAAAGCUAGGAGGCAUAUCCAAAUAUUUUGAUACCAUGACAGGGUUAUAUUGCAUAUAUCCCAUGGCAAAAUGUGGACGAUUUUGCCACCCCAUAACUGGUGCUGGAUAGGAUGGAU
rnacentral:lncRNA from 1 species